AGCGACGGCAAAGUGGCGGCUGAGGCCGAGGCACCUCGUGGGCUCGUGUCCAUGCCGGGCCGGAUGAAGGGAAAGGCCGGGGAGUGGGGAGCCGGAGGUGCCCUGAAAGCUCGAGGCGACCGACGGCGAAGGUUCCAGGGCUGAGCAGAAAGGGACCCUCUGCUCUCAUCCCGCACGCGCGCCCGCCCGCCCGCCGGGGAGAGCCGCCGCCGCCCGGCUCAGAGGGAUCCCGCCGGACCUGCCCCUUCCACUGCGGCUCACUCUGCCCUGCCUGGCGCCAGUCCUGGAUCGCCGGCUUCCUAUUUAUACCGGACUGGGCUCCUUUCGACUCACUUUACCAUCCUGUUCCAGGCUGGCGACUUCGCUGCUGAGCUGAAACUGCUAAUUUCUGUGACCAGCUUUUUUCUUAGCUGUGAUCUGGAUGAAUGAGUAGCUGUCUCACAGAGAUGACAAAAAUAAACUCUAAUCCCCCCCAAAAUUUCCACUACAUCUUUCUCAUGCAUAGAUUUAUGAUCUUCAAGCGCUCUGUGCAAUAUGCAAACUUUUUUUUGUGUCUGUAUAUAUGCUGUUGUUUCCAGAUUUCACUACAUUGGUAUGCUGCUUUCCCUUCCCCCCACACCCCCCAACACUAUGAAAUGCAGAAACAGUCUGAUCUCAAAGUGUGCUAAGAUACCACUUUAUUCUGUUUGGGUAUUUGGGGUUUGAGUCUGACUUGGAAGACAGUAGCCCUUGCCUUAAAGGUGAGUGGCUGAGGAAACACACCAGGGUGGGGGAAGUAGAGCCGGUAGAAUAGAGGACAGCCCUUUGCUUUACAUUUGCUUCUCAUAAAACAGUAUUCAAGCUUUAUGAUCUUAUUUGAAAACAUAUUUUCUCUAUCAUUUUGUCUGGUUAAACAACUGCCUCUGAACUUCUCUGUCAGCUUUUCGACAGAUAAGGUUGCAGAAGUCACAUUUUUUUAUUGAAAGAUUAUAAUAUUGUUGGAUUAGUAUUUCAAUUAGGAGUGUUUGAUUUGCAGAAGCUAGAAUCAAGUGCUAGGAAACCCGGCUGCAAUUCACAAAUGUAACCUUUCAACUUUGGAGCUCAUCUGAUAUAUAAGGGCAACCACAUCGUGCUCACAUUUUUGACCCUGCUUAGCAUGUAAAAGGAACCCCACAGCAUGUUUCUGGAAUUUUAGCUGUAGCAGAGAUUCAUGUGCAUUUUGGUAGAGGACAUGUUCUCCAGACUUAUCUCAUGAUGUAUUGCACCCUUACAUUUAUAGCCCUGCAUUUCAGUUGUCAAUGGGGGUUGGAGGUGUCCAAGAAAGAAAGAAAAAAAGAAGCAGAAAAAGAAAGAAAAGGAGGAGAGGAAACACAAGAAGUGCCUGACGCAGAGCUCCAGUUCCUACUUUGUGGGUAUAAAUGUUCAAGAUGCCAUAAAAUCGCCAUGGUCUUUAGCCAUGCACCAAUGGUGGUUUUGUGUGUUGGCUGCUCCACUGUCUUCUGUCCAGCCUACAGGAAAAAAAAAAAAAAAAGCAGGACAUGUUCCUGUAGGAGGAAGCAGCACUAAUAUCGUUCUGAAUCAAGAUAAAUGGAAAACCAUCCCAAUACACACGAUUGGACAUUAAAGACGAAGAAUAUUUAUUAGUAAUGAUGGUUUAAUAACAGGUUGCUGAAUAGAUUCAGGACUCUGAAAAGUCGCUUUUUGGUACUAGGCCUUCAUAACAAUGUCUGAGAUGAGAGAGGAUGUUGCACAUUGGCUUCUGUCUCUGACAUUACCUGUAACUCUAGACAAAUCACUUUUCUUUAUUCAGGUCUCAGUCUCCCAAAUGUGAAGAGAGAGAGAGAGCAUUUCCUUCAUUUAACUUCUGUAUAGGCUUGCAUUCAGGAGAAGUGAACUCAAUGUUCCCCCAAAGAAUAAUUGGGAACUCUCCUAGUGAUUUGCAGGAUAAAUUGAAGGUUAAACAGUAGAAUAAGGAAGAACAUAUUCUUCUCCCCCUGAAAACUUCCCAGAGGCUGGAGGUCAUAGGAAUGUACCCAGUCAUCUUUGUUGAAGUUGUCAGAUACAAGCAAGAAGUAAAACAUGUCAAUGUAUUUUGAGUGCAUUGGCAGAAAUUAUAUUACUUAUAUUCACAAAUUAUUUUAUAUGGAUGAAAAGUUUUCAAAGGAUUGGAGUUUGUGGGAAAGUAUUUGUUUGAUAUUUGAAUGCUCAUUUUAGAAGGGUAUGAAACUCUCCAUGAGGAAGACAAUCUAUCUUUAUCAUAAAGAGUUAUUAUCCAAAUUUGUAAAUUAUUAAAAUCACCUUCUCCACUCUCAAAUUUUUCUUUGAUUUGUGGCAAUAAUUUUGUUCUUUCUCUUACCAAUUUUUAAAAAGGAAUAUGUGUAUUGCUACAUUGGAAUAUUCAACAGCCCAUUGAAAGUUUUGUAGUUAAUGGAAAGACAUGAUCUAAAUUUUUCUGUCAAAUAUCUAUAUGCUUAUUAAUCACAUAUUAUUUUAUCUUUACAAGGAUAUAUCACCUUGAUUGCAGUGCUAGUCUCUCUACAGACAACCUGUUUAUAUCUUGAGGUCUUUAUUGAUUAUUGCUCUCUGCUUCUUUGAUAUUAGUGCAAAUCUCUCCAACUUUCCAUUUAAAAAAAUUAUCUGUUGUUCUGUUUAUUCUGUUCAUUACCAUAUCCUCCUUUAUGUUCUGUAUAUCUGUUUAUCACCAUAUCCUCUUUAUUCUUCCACUUCACUCCAGUAUACCCAAUCCUAUUACUGUGUCUAUUAUUUAUUUUAUAAUACUAUAUUUCAGAGUAUUCCAGUAAAGUUGUUGAAAUUGUUCUAAUUCUGAGUUAAUAUAGUAAUUGUUGAAAUAUUGUCUGGAAGUUUGAAUAAAUUUGGGGAGUUGAUUAAAGUGACAAAUAAUUCAAGAAUUCUGGUGAGUAUUUCUUUUUAGUUGUUUAAAUACAACCCAGUAGCUAAAGGAUAUAUUUUCUCCAAAUCAAAUAGUAAGAUGUAGCCACAGCUAAUACAACAUGAUAAAUCUGCACCAGAAUCUUUUUAUUUUGUCUUUACUUCUUAAUUGAGCUUAGAGCAAAACAUGGGUCAAGAUAAGGACUGAUUUAAGUCCUCUGUAAGGUUUUAAAUUCCAACUGCCAGAAUAUUUUGUUUUCUUUUAUUCCUUUUUAUGCAUAUUAAUUUCCUUGACUUUGUAACAGUAAUGUCAAAAGAAGUUAAAUACUUGCAGAGAGAAUUUCAAGAACACUGUUAUUGUGUAAGAUGCAGAUCUUUGCAGCUCUCAUCUUUGAGACAUGCUUUUAAUGAAACUGUCUCCACAAACCUGAAAUAUAUAUAUUAUUGGCACAAAAUUCUACAGAGUCUCUAAAAUGGGUAAAAAUUCUCAGUUGAAUCUUGUAUGUCCAUUUAAUGAUAUGUACUGUAGAUGUUUGGGAAAAACUGAAAUACAAUGAUUUAAUUAGGUAAUAUGGACAGUACUUAAUUUUGAAGGUGAAACUGUGUGUGUUUGUGUGUUCAUUUGUUGUUGUUGUUUCCCAAAAUUAGUAUUUGUCAGCUUGGGUAUCUGUCAGUAUGGAACUUCAUUUUUCAGAACUAUUAUUAGUAUAAACAUUUAUUAAGUUGUUUUCUAAGAUUCAGAGUAAUUUUAAAAUAAACAUUUAAAUUUUAGAACAUAUUUAGAUUUACAGGAAAAUUGGGAGGAUAAUACAGCAUUCUCAUAUGCCCAGUGCCCAGUUUUUCCUAACAUAUUAGUAUGAUGCAUUUGUUAUAACUAAUGGAUAAUAUUGAUUAAUCAUUAUUAGCUGAGUCAUUAUUUGCUGAAUGCAUAGAUUUAUUCAGAUUGCCUUAGUUUUUAUGCAACGUUCUUUUUCUGUUUUCAGGAUCCCAUCCAGGAGACCACAUUACAUUUAGUUGUUAUGUUUUCUUAGGUUCAUUUUGGCUGUACAUUUUCUCAGACUUUUCUUGUUUUUGAUCACCUUGAUUUUGAGAAGUGUUGGUUAGGUAAUUUGCAGAAUGAUCCUGAACUAGAAGUUGUCCAAUGUUCUCCUCAUGAUUAGACUGGGAUUAUGGUGGGUUUUGGGAGGAGGAACAUCAUAGUAAAGUCUCACUUCAUUACAUAAGAUUAGGGAUACUUGUGAUAAAUAUGAGUCAUCACUGCUGAUGUUAAACUUGUUCACCAAGCUGAUUUAGUGUUUGUCAUGUUUCUCCAUAAUAAGAUAUAAUUUUCUUUUUAUCACUCUUUCCAUAUUGUACUUCUUGGAAAAAAGUCACUAUGCACUCUUGAGUGGCGAACAACUUCUUCAGUUCCUUCUAAGUGGAGAAUUUACAUCAAUUACUUGGAAUUCCCCUGCAAGAAAAAUUUGUCCAUUCCUACCCCCACCUAUUUAAUUUAUUUAUAUUAACACAAACUCAUGGAUAUUUAUUUUAUACUUUGGGUUAUAAUCGAAUACUGCUUUAUUUUCCUCAUUAAACUAUUGCAGCUUUGAAAGGACAUGUAUUUCCUUCCUUCCUUCCUCUUUCUUUCUUUCACCUCUUUCUUUCUUUCAUCUUUCUUUCUGUCUUUCUUUCUUUCAUCUUUCUUUCUCUCCUUUUUUUCUUUCCCAGAAAUAUACCGCAGGCUCAUCUUGUAUAUUCUAUGCUCCUAUCUUAGAAUCAACCAUUUCUCAUUUCUUGAAGGAACACUGCUUCCUGUUACUGAAGAAUAGCAUUGGAAAUAAAGAUCUGGGCAUUGGGUCUGCUCAUUGCUACUGGGGUGUGGUUACUUUUAGAUACUCUGAGCUUUAAGAUCAAGGAAAUAUGUGUGUAUACAAACUCUAUGUGUCCACAUAUCUAUACAUGUUUAUAUAUGUGAAACCAUCUAUAUUUAAAUUAAGCUAAACAUGAGAUUAUACUUACGUCUCCAACCCUGAUGCAUUAUAGGCCAACUUUAUUUUAACUUAACCAGUUUAUAUGGGAAAGUCAUGAGAAGGAAGAACAGUGUCCCUACUUUGGGGCUGAUGAGCCCACAGACUACACUGAGCUCUCACAGGCUAUAAACAAGUACUGCAAUGAAGGAAUAAACCACAUCCUGCAGUAACAACUUUCAACUUUAUUAUUUACUAGGGUUACACUUCAGAUACUUUUAGUGUAACAUUCUGAAAAUAAAUACUUUGCAACUGAAGUCCAUUAUCUUCCAUAAGAUAAGAGAGGUGUCAGGAUCUUCUAAUCUUAGAAAAAGGUCUCAACACAGACCUACUGGGAGAAAUCUGUAAGAAAGGUAUCUCAGUCUAUGCUGAUUUUACUUUUAUAGGCCGUGGCUCUUGACAGCCAUUGAAAGUUUAUUUAAGAGGGAUGAUUGUAGCUACAGUUCCUCUAAUAGAUCACUGACCAGUGGGAGUAGGAGAAAAGAACAUAGGACCUAGAAUAGAAAGAAAAUGGACUUGAGGCUCACCUUCAUCAUUUAUUGGUAACAUGUGUGUCCCAGUGUCUUUAAACCUUAGUUUUUUCAUUAAGUGGAUAAUAUUAAUUCCUACAAAAUUUAUUUUAAGAAAUAGUGUAAAGAUUAAGAAAGCUGUGAAAUGUGAAAGUAAUUUGUGAAAUAAUAAGACAAUGCGAAAGAAUUAUUAUUUAUAUUAUCUUUAGUGGGAGGAGAUCAUACCCAUUAGGUGACUGGAGAUGCUAUAGCAUAGUGGGCAAGAAUGUGGACUUAAACUAUGCAAUUUACUAACUGUGUGAAAUAAGGCCAGAAAGACCCUUAAUUUCUCUGAGAUUCACUUCUCUUGAAGGUCAAAUGGGGUUCAUUUAUCCCACAAGUUCAUUGUAAGGAUUUGAUGGGAGAAUGCCCUGUACACGGAAAACACUCAAUGUUGGUUUAGUGAACCCUAAAUACUUGAUUCACAAGACAACUGAGAAAUAAAUCUACCCACAUGUUAAGUUUCCUUGGAUUUUAUUUAAUCAUCUGUGAGGUGAAAAGGGGAUUGUGUGGUUGCUGAUGUCCUUUCUCUCCAGCUCUAAAGUUCAUAUUCUGAACCUCUCUAUUUUCCUGAAAUACUGAUUAGUGCAUGGAAUAUGGGAUCCCAGUUCAUAACAGGGCCUAGGUAAAUUCCCUUGAAAUAAGUGGAGGGAUUGGGCCUCCCAACUUAGCUAUGAGAGGACACAGAAAAACUACACCACAGUUCAGUGAUUAGGCAAUUCUCCACUGGAAAGGCACUUCAUUCUCAUGGGCCCCCUCCAAGGCUCUAGGAGGAGCACUAGCUAUGUGUAAAAUUUGCAAAACUGAGAUUUUUUUACUGUAAUCAACUAAGAGUGCUAUUUUCACUCUGACUUCCCCUCAUGUCAGAUGGAUUUGGAGGGGUUGUGAAUACUUUGAGACAUAGCAAAAGGGAAGUUGAUUUGGGAAUCUGGUUUAGAUUGAUAUAGAAGGAUGCAUUUAUGUGGUUCACAAUUGCCUCCACCUACAGUUAAGUUGUUGCAAGCUGCCCUGAUAUAGGAAUGACUACCAGAAAUAUCCUGACUUCCCACUAUGCUGACUUACACAGCAUCAAGACAUGAAACUCUAGGGAAACUUUGGGAAGCUUAAAAAAAAAAUCUUUCCAAGCUAUUAAUAAAAAAAAUUAAAAAUUAAAAAAAAAUUUUUGAGACACAGUCUUUCUCUGUCACGUAGGCUGCAGUUUAGUGACGUGAUCACCACUAACUGCUGCCUUGAAUUCCCAGGCCUUAGAAAUCCUCCCACCUCGGCCUCCCAAGUAAUUGUGACAACAGGUGUCUGACACCAUACCUGGAUUUUUUUUUUUUUUUUUUUUUUUUUUGUGG